GGAGAGAUGGCUGAGGGGUUGAUAGCCCCGGUCUUGAAAACCGGUAUAGUCCUUAACAAGUAACUAUCGAGGGUUCGAAUCCCUCUCUCUCCU
rnacentral:tRNA from 1 species